rnacentral:rRNA from 1 species
GCAAGUCGAGGGGUAAGGCUCUUUCGGGAGUACACGACCGGCGCACGGGUGAGUAACGCGUAUGCAACCUACCUCUAACAGGGGGAUAGCCCGAAGAAAUUCGGAUUAAUACCGCAUAAUAUCAAGAGAUCGCAUGAUUUUUUGAUAAAAACUCCGGUGGUUAGAGAUGGGCAUGCGUGACAUUAGAUUGUUGGUGAGGUAACGGCUCACCAAGUCUACGAUGUCUAGGGGGUCUGAGAGGAUGGUC